GUUUAAUUCUAGAGAAUGUUUACCUUGUCCCUCUGGUUUAACAACAACAGAUAUCGGUGCUAAUUCUUUGGAUCAAUGCACAGAUCCAUAUUUAUUAAAUCCUACUACUACAAUGGCACCAGAGACAACUCCUUCCCCUGUGUUAAUCUGUGAUCCUCCAUCAAACACUACUGGCUUAAGAUAUGACUGUAAAGGUUAUACAGUGGGAGAUGAAUGUUUCAUUAGUUGUGAAAAUGGUACAUUAUGGGGUGCUGAUAUGAUGACUUGUAUAUGGGAACCACCAAUCGCUGUCUGGAAGUUAAACUAUCAACAAACACCUACAUGUGAAAGUGACGCACCAUCAGACUGUCAAGAAUUAUCUUCUCCUGAUCAAGGUACUGCCGUUUGUCAGUCAACAACAGAUGGUCUUGAAUGUAAUCUUGAAUGCGAUUCCAGUUACUCUAUACCCCGAGGUUUCAACACUUACAAGUGUAAUUCAUCACAAGGGGUUUGGUUACCAUCUGAACAACUUCCAGAUUGUACAGCAAUAAGACAAGCAACAAAAAUAAGUCUAAAAGCUGAAUUAAGAUAUAUAUAUGGAGAUUGUUCAUCUGCUGAUGUUAGAAAACAGAUUCAGACCAGUUUUAAGAGUCGUAUGGAAUCUGCUAGUGGAUGGAAGGGUGCAUGUCCAUCUCAUAAAACGUGUCUUGUUGAUCGUAUUAAGGUCACCUGCACGGAGAACUCAU